rnacentral:rRNA from 1 species
UACGUAGGGCGCAAGCGUUGUCCGGAAUUAUUGGGCGUAAAGCGCUCGUAGGCGGUCUGUUGCGUCCGCUGUGAAAACUCGGGGCUUAACCCCGAGCCUGCAGUGGAUACGGGCAGACUAGAGGUAGGUAGGGGAGAAUGGAAUUCCCGGUGUAGCGGUGAAAUGCGCAGAUAUCGGGAGGAACACCGGUGGCGAAGGCGGUUCUCUGGGCCUUGCCUGACGCUGAGGAGCGAAAGCGUGGGGAGCGAACAGG